GAGGCUUAGAGUGGCUGAGCAAUGAUGAGCUUGUCCGGCCUCUGCUGCAGCUUGAGCUACCCUUUAGAAGUCUGUGGAGUUUAGCAUUGUGCUCAUGGAUGAUGGUGACUAUUGGCUCUGCGACCCUUCAUGAUGAUGUUCUUUAAGCAAAGAUUCUCUGUUCCUGAUCCACCAUGGCCGGAAGGUAUAGAGAAGACCUCUGUUCCUGAUCCAUCAUGGCCGGAAGACUCUGGACUGAAGAAUUUUUGUUCCAGAAAUAUACUGAUCAUCCUUGGCUUCUCCUCUAUCAUUGCUGUGAUUGCUUUGAUUGCUGUGGCGUUGACCCAGAACAAACCAUUGCCAGAAAAUGUUAAGUAUGGGAUUGUGCUGGAUGCAGGCUCUUCUCACACAAGUUUGUACAUCUAUAAGUGGCCAGCGGAAAAGGAGAAUGACACAGGGGUGGUACACCAGAUAGAAGAAUGCAAGCUGAAAGGUCCCGGAAUCUCAAGAUAUGCUCAAAGAGUAAAUGAAAUAGAUGCUUAUCUGACUGAAUGCAUGGAAAGAGCCAGUCAAGUGAUUCCACAGUCCCAGCACCAAGGGACGCCUGUUUACCUGGGAGCUACGGCAGGCAUGAGGUUGCUCAGGAUGGAAAAUGAACAGUUGGCAGACAAGGUCCUGGGUAUGGUGACGAAGAGCCUCAGCAACUACCACUUUGACUUCCAUGGUGCUAGAAUCAUCACUGGCCAAGAGGAAGGUGCCUAUGGCUGGAUUACUAUCAACUAUCUGCUGGGCAAAUUCACUCAGAAAUUGAGUUGGCUCAGCCUGAAGCCAAAUGGGGGCAAUUCUCAGGAAACCUAUGGAGCUUUAGACCUUGGGGGAGCUUCUACACAAAUCACUUUUGUGCCGGAAGACAAGGGGAUUGAGUCUCCAAGCAACGCUCUGUAUUUUCGCCUCUAUGGCAAGGACUACAGCGUGUACACGCACAGCUUCUUAUGCUAUGGGAAGGAUCAAGCGCUCAGGCAGAAACUGGCCAAGGACAUUCAGGGUACAAACGGAAUCCUCAAGGACCCAUGCUUUCACCCUGGAUACGAAACAGUAAUGAAUGUAAGUGAACUUUACAGUAGCCCCUGCACCAAGAGAUUUGAGAUGACUCUUCCAUUCGAUCAGUUUCAAAUCCAGGGCACUGGAAACUAUCAACAAUGCCAUCGAAGCAUCCUUGAACUCUUCAACACCAGUUACUGCCCAUACUCCCACUGUUCCUUCAAUGGGAUUUUCUUGCCACCACUUCAUGGGGAUUUUGGGGCAUUUUCAGCUUAUUACUAUGUGAUGGAGUUUUUAAACUUUACAUCAGAGGAAAUCCCCACUCAGGAAAAGGUGAUUGACACUAUGGAAAAGUUCUGCUCUCAACCUUGGAAAGAGCUGAAGACAUAUUUUGGUGACGUGAAGGAGAAGUACUUGAGUGAAUAUUGCUUUUCUGGAGCCUACAUCCUCUCUCUCCUUCUGAAUGGCUAUCAUUUCACAGCUGAUUCCUGGAAGAAUAUUCAUUUCAUGGGCAAGAUCCACAGUAGCAGUGUCGGAUGGACUCUGGGCUACAUGCUGAACCUGACCAACAUGAUCCCUGCUGAGCAGCCAUUGUCCACACCUCUCUCCCACUCCACAUAUGUCUUCCUCAUGGUUCUCUUCUCCCUGAUCCUGGUUGCAGUGGCCAUCAUAGGCUUGUUUAUCUUUCACAAGCCUUCAUAUUUCUGGAAAGACAUGGUAUAGCAGGAGCAGCUGCAAUCUGCUGGCUGGAGUGAGAAAAAAACUUGUCCAGGGAGAAGUUUCCUCCACAGUGGUGUACAAGGUCAUCCUUCCUUGCUCAUCAAGGCCAGUCUUGACCAGCAUGAAGCUUCCCUGGCUUUUGCAGCAGCCUUUCCAUGGGAGGUAUUCACCACCACCUGCCUCAAGGACUACCCGGCAGACUUCGUCUCUUUUAAAUUAGCUGGAGACAAGACCAUCCCUAGAAACACUGUCCCUCAGCAAGUUGGAAUUAUAAUCCACAAGUUUCCUUCAAUAAACAUGGAAAUCUUUUCUUUUCCA